rnacentral:rRNA from 1 species
UACGUAGGGUGCAAGCGUUAAUCGGAAUUACUGGGCGUAAAGCGUGCGCAGGCGGUUGUGCAAGACCGAUGUGAAAUCCCCGGGCUUAACCUGGGAAUGGCAUUGGUGACUGCACGGCUAGAGUGUGUCAGAGGGGGGUGGAAUGCCGCGUGUAGCAGUGAAAUGCGUAGAGAUGCGGCGGGAGCACCGAUGGCGAAGGCAGCCCCCUGGGCUUAAAUUGACGCUGAGGCACGAAAGCGUGGGGAGCAACAGG